rnacentral:rRNA from 1 species
UGAACACUGGCGGCGUGCCUAAUACAUGCAAGUCGAGCGAACAGACGAGGAGCUUGCUCCUCUGACGUUAGCGGCGGACGGGUGAGUAACACGUGGAUAACCUACCUAUAAGACUGGGAUAACUUCGGGAAACCGGAGCUAAUACCGGAUAAUAUAUUGAACCGCAUGGUUCAAUAGUGAAAGACGGUUUUGCUGUCACUUAUAGAUGGAUCCGCGCCGCAUUAGCUAGUUGGUAAGGUAACGGCUUACCAAGGCAACGAUGCGUAGCCGACCUGAGAGGGUGAUCGGCCACACUGGAACUGAGACACGGUCCAGACUCCUACGGGAGGCAGCAGUAGGGAAUCUUCCGCAAUGGGCGAAAGCCUGACGGAGCAACGCCGCGUGAGUGAUGAAGGUCUUCGGAUCGUAAAACUCUGUUAUUAGGGAAGAACAAAUGUGUAAGUAACUAUGCACGUCUUGACGGUACCUAAUCAGAAAGCCACGGCUAACUACGUG